AACUAACGCAAAUCAAAGUAACAGUUUCUGUACUAUAUUGGUAUGAGAAACUUCCGGAAGCGCCGCACGCCGGUCGCUCUUCGGUCAACUUUUCCACCGCGACCCUCGGGUCGC
rnacentral:misc_RNA from 1 species